GCCAGGUGUGGUGGUGGGCCCCUGUAAUCCCAGCUACUCUGGAGGCUGAGGCAGGAGAAUUGCUUGAGCCCAGGAGGCGGAGAUUGCAGUGAGCCGAGAUCAUGCCACUGCACUCCAGCCUGGGCAACAGAGUAAGACUCUGUCUCAA
rnacentral:SRP_RNA from 1 species